rnacentral:rRNA from 1 species
UACGGAGGAGGCAGGCGUUAUCCGGAAUUAUUGGGCGUAAAGCGUCCGUAGGUGGUUGUCCAAGUCUGCUGUCAAAGGGUGGGGCUUAACCUCAUAAAGGCAGUGGAAACUGGCGAGCUAGAGUGCGGUAGGGGUAGGGGGAAUUCCCAGUGUAGCGGUGAAAUGCGUAGAGAUUGGGAAGAACAUCGGUGGCGAAAGCGCCCUGCUGGGCCUGCACUGACUCUGAGGCACCAAAGCUAGCGGAGCGACAGGG